UUAAGAUUUUCACUACACAACUAGCAGCAGCUAGGCAAAGGAAUGGAUCUCUUGCUGUUUUUGCCAGAAACCGGUUUAGAAUUCGACGAAAUCAUAUAUUGGAAGAUGCUUUCAGUCAGAUGAGUGCAUUGUCUGAAGUUGAUCUUCGAGGAUCGAUACGUGUGUCUUUUGUUAAUGAAUUUGGAGUUGAGGAGGCAGGAAUUGAUGGUGGUGGUAUUUUUAAAGAUGUCAUGGAGAACAUUACACAGGCAGCC